rnacentral:lncRNA from 1 species
CCGAGGCGAAGCAUGUUCGAGGGGGAGAUCGCCCGUCCGGAGGGGGGCCAAUAUGCAUAUUCCAUGGCACCAGCGGCCAUGAUACCUCCGAGUGUCAACAACACUGCCUAGUCCGUGUUGAACACUUCAGCAGGCGCCCCGGACGGUAUGACACAGGCCCCGCGCGUGGAGGAGGCCACAGUGGGGGCCGCUGGGAUGACCGUUGUGGCACCCCAUCUCGGAGGAAACUGGAACGCCCCGUAUUCCAGCCCAAGGACCGGUCUUCUAGAAUACGGAAAAGAUUACAUGGAUACAUGGAUUACAUUGCCUUGGCGAUACUACACCUACCUACGGUAAAUCCUACGCUAGAAGCGGAACAGCUAACGAUGUGAUGAACUCCACUCCGCACGGACUCUGGCUGGAACGCGCAUCCUAGCUCGCAACUUAGAAUCCUCGGCAAUCAAACACUCAAGGAAUGACCUGCAAACUGGCAUGAUAAGCCAGGUGAGUACUUUGAAUGU